rnacentral:rRNA from 1 species
AGUGAACGCUGGCGGUAGGCCUAACACAUGCAAGUCGAACGGCAGCACAGUAAGAGCUUGCUCUUACGGGUGGCGAGUGGCGGACGGGUGAGGAAUACAUCGGAAUCUACUUUUUCGUGGGGGAUAACGUAGGGAAACUUACGCUAAUACCGCAUACGACCUACGGGUGAAAGCAGGGGAUCUUCGGACCUUGCGCGAUUGAAUGAGCCGAUGUCGGAUUAGCUAGUUGGCGGGGUAAAGGCCCACCAAGGCGACGAUCCGUAGCUGGUCUGAGAGGAUGAUCAGCCACACUGGAACUGAGACACGGUCCAGACUCCGACGGGAGGCAGCAGUGGGGAAUAUUGGACAAUGGGCGCAAGCCUGAUCCGGCCAUACCGCGUGGGUGAAGAAGGCCUUCGGGUUGUAAAGCCCUUUUGUUGGGAAAGAAAAGCAGCAGGUUAAUACCCCGCUGUUCUGACGGUACCCAAAGAAUAAGCACCGGCUAACUUCGUG